UGCGUAAUAGCUCACUGGUCGAGUGAUUCUGCGCCGAAAAUUUAACGGGGCUAAACUAUACACCGAAGCUUAGGAUACCGCAAGGUAUGGUAGGAGAGCGUUCUGUACGGAGUGAAGUCGUAGCGAAAGCGGCGGUGGACUGUACAGAAGUGAGAAUGCCGGAAUAAGUAGCGAGAAUUAAGUGAGAAUCUUAAUGGCCGAAAGUCUAAGGUUUUUGGAGGAAGGUUCGUCCGCUCCAAGUAAGUCGGGAGCUAAGGUCAGGCCGAAAGGCGUAGCCGAUGCACAAACGGUUGAUAUUCCGUUACCGUCUACAAUUUAAACAAAGGGACACAUACAAAGCGUUUAACCCGGGCGAUGGUUGACCCGGGCGCAAGGGACUGAAAUUAGAGUAGGGAAGUAAAUGUGGCGUAUGGCGAGAAAAGCUUUGUGAAUAGAAGUAGACGCCCGUACCGCAAACCGACACAGGUGGACAGGAAGAGAAUUCUAAGGCCAGCGGGAGAAGGGUAGUUAAGGAACUCGGCAAAUUGACUCCGUAACUUCGGAAUAAGGAGUGCUCGAAAGAGCCGCAGAGAAUAGGCCCAGGCGACUGUUUAGCAAAAACACAGGUCUCUGCCAAAUCGAAAGAUGAAGUAUAGGGGCUGACACCUGCCCGGUGCCGGAAGGUUAAGAGGAGGAGUGCAAGCUCCGAAUUGAAGCCCCGGUAAACGGCGGCCGUAACUAUAACGGUCCUAAGGUAGCGAAAUUCCUUGUCGGGUAAGUUCCGACCCGCACGAAUGGUGUAACGAUCUGGGCACUGUCUCAACUACCCACCCGGCGAAAUUGUAGUACCGGUGAAGAUGCCGGUUACCUGCGGCAAGACGGAAAGACCCCAUGGAGCUUUACUGUAGCCUGAUAUUGGGUUUCGGAAAUCUAUGUACAGGAUAGGCGGGAGACUGGGAAGUAUGAGCGUCAGCUUAUACGGAGUCAUUGUUGGGAUACCGCCCUUAGGUUUCUGGAAUUCUAACCUGCGACCGUGAAUCCGGUCGGGGGACAUUGUCAGGUGGGCAGUUUGACUGGGGCGGUCGCCUCCGAAAAGGUAACGGAGGCGCUCAAAGGUUAGCUCAGCACGGACGGAAACCGUGCCUCUGAGUGUAAACGCAAAAGCUAGCCUAACUGCGAGGGUGACGGCCCGAGCAGUAACGAAAGUUGGAGUUAGUGAUCCGGCGGUAUGUGAAUGGAAAUGC
rnacentral:rRNA from 1 species